rnacentral:rRNA from 1 species
CGCCUUGCCAGCCCGCUCAGAACUUAAAGGAAUUGACGGGGGCCCGCACAAGCGGUGGAGCAUGUGGUUUAAUUCGAUGAUACGCGAGGAACCUUACCUGGGCUCAAAUGUAUGUUGACGUAUUCUGAAAGGGAUACUUCUUCGGACAAUAUACAAGGUGCUGCAUGGUUGUCGUCAGCUCGUGCCGUGAGGUGUCGGGUUAAGUCCCAUAACGAGCGCAACCCCUAUCAUUAGUUGCCAUCAGGUCAAGCUGGGGACUCUAAUGAAACUGCCUACGCAAGUAGUGAGGAAGGUGGGGAUGACGUCAAAUCAGUACGGCCCUUACGUCCAGGGCUACACACGUGCUACAAUGGCCGGUACAAAGGGCAGCUACCUGGUGACAGGAUGCUAAUCUCAAAAGCCGGUCUCAGUUCGGAUCGGGGUCUGAAACUCGACUUCAUGAAGUUGGAAUCGCUAGUAAUCGCGCAUCAGCAUGGCGCGGUGAAUACGUUCCCGGGCCUU